rnacentral:rRNA from 1 species
AAUGAACGUUGGCGGCGUGGAUUAGGCAUGCAAGUCGAACGGGCCGCAAGGCCAGUGGCGCAAGGGUGAGUAAGGCGACGGUAACCAACCCCAAGAUUGGGUAUAGCCGCGGGAAACUGCGGGUAAUCCCCAGCGAUGCAAAGGCACCGGCAUCGGUGCUUUGCCAAAGCUUCGGCGUCUUGGGACGGGCUGUCGUGGUAUUAGCUUGUUGGUGAGGUAAUGGCUCACCAAGGCUUCGAUGCCUACCGGGCGUGCGAGCGUGGCCCGGCACACUGGGACUGAGACACUGCAGACUCUUACGGGAGGCUGCAGUCGAGAAUCUUCGGCAAUGGGCGCAAGCCUGACCGAGCGACGCCGCGUGGAGGAUGAAGGCCUUCGGGUUGUAAACUCCUGUCGAGGGGGAAAAAGGCUCCGCAAGGAGCUUGAUUGAUCCCUGGAGGAAGCACGGGCUAAGUUCGUGCCAGCAGCCGCCGUAAAAC